rnacentral:lncRNA from 1 species
GGAUUAUCCCAAGCUCAAGUGCAGCCUGAACUUUGAUCUGUCAUGUGCUCCACAUCCCACUGGGCCUUGGACACCUUGGCUUUUUGCUGCUCACUGAACAGCUUCAACAGGAGGCCUGUCUUGGAGAUGAGCUUGGCACAGGCCAACUGCACUUGGGUCUCAGAGCAGUCCAUCUUUAAACUCCUGAUAACACGAGAAAUCAGCCUUCUGAUGUCAUUGUUGGGGAUGAGGGGCCAGAGUUGCUGAUUUAUGUAAAUCUCAAACUGAUCACGUGAGGAUGACAGCGACAGGGAGGUGAAGUCUUUGAGCGGUGAGUCAGUGCCCAUGUUGGGGUGUUCCCAAUGUGCCUUUGUUGUGUGGUUCACAGCUGGUAUUAGGUUGAAUGCAGUCACGGCAGAGUAUGCAG